CCACACACACUCUCUCCUCUCUUCUCUCUUCUCUAUUCUCUCUGCCUUCUCUCUAACUCUCCUCCUCUCUUCUCUCCUUCUUCCUCUCCACCGUCGCCGCCGCGUCGUCGCCGCUGCCGCCGCCGCGACUAUUCCCCUUCCUUUUUACUUUUUUUUUCUCUUCUCGGCCGCCUCUUUUCCUCCACCUUUUUAAUUUCCAGCGACGACGGCCCCUGCCGUGUCCUAUGUCUCACCUCUCCUCUCCCGGUCACCACCAUGAGAAGAAAGAAAAGGUAAAAGAUCUCUAAACCCUCUUUUCUGCUUUUCUGAUUUCAUCAGACUUGCAUGUCAUCGGAGGAGGCUCCGGCGAGUCCUCCGGUGACAUGCGUGUCCUGUUCCAUAGAUCUAAGUUUGAAGUCUCUUUUUCUGAUUUUGUGUACACUAGGACAAUAUGCACACGCUUACAUGGUAGCGUGUAUUGGGGUGAUCAUGCUAGUGGAUAGGGGCACUAUGUAACCUGUCAUAUCUGAUAGUGUUGAGGCAGGAGAACAUGUUUGCUUGGGGGGUAGCGGUGUUAUCUUGGCUGUACCAAGAGUUCAGCCGGUCAGCGUUCAGGUUGGAGUCUUUUGCUACGAAGUCGGUGGGUGAUAUAGUUGGUUCGACUGUGUCCUACUAAAUGUUUGGGAAUUAGAGAGGUUUCUGGCCAUAGCUGGAGAGUCCAUGAUGGCAGGCUUAGAGGACCAGAUGCUUUAGGGCUUAUGGAGAAUACCCGCCUAUAUUGAUGAAAGAACUGGAUACACGACAAGAGUUGACAUCUCUUUCACCCUAGGAUACGAGCCGCAUGUUCUAGGGACCUGCAAUGGCCAUAAACGUUUCAUUUUGACUACCUACAUAAUUUUUUAUUUAAUCAUGCCUACAACUUUAUUUUCUCAUCCACAUAGUUCCAUAAACUUGAAGAAAGCAGGAUCAACCAUGCUUCAGUAUAUGCCAUGAUUGUGAACAAGGAAGUUAACUUCACCUAACGAGUCACGACAACUUGUUAUGAUAAUUUCAGCCGUCCAAGGUCAA
rnacentral:lncRNA from 1 species